rnacentral:rRNA from 1 species
UACGGGGGGGGCAAGCGUUGUUCGGAAUUACUGGGCGUAAAGGGCUCGUAGGUGGCCAACUAAGUCAGUUGUGAAAUCCCUCGGCUCAACCGAGGAAUGGCGUCUGAGACUGGAUGGCUUGAAUCCGGGAGAGGGAUGCGGAAUUCCAGGUGUAGCGGUGAAAUGCGUAGAUAUCUGGAGGAACACCGGUGGCGAAGGCGGCAUCCUGGACCGGUAUUGACACUGAGGAGCGAAAGCCAGGGGAGCAAACGGG